UCGCCUCUUGACUCUUAUAAGAGGUCCAGCCUGCCCAGUGACCAUGUUCAACGGCCGCGGUAUCCUAACCGUGCGAAGGUAGCGUAAUCACUUGUUCUUUAAAURCGGACUAGUAUGAAUGGCACCACGAAGGUUAUACUGUCUCCUUUUUCUAAUCAGUGAAACUAAUCUCCCCGUGAAGAAGCGAGGAUAYACCUAUAAGACGAGAAGACCCUAUGGAGCUUUAAACAACACAGCAAUUACCUGCUAAACUAAGAAGUUUCUGAACAUUUUCAAUCUUUUAAGUAAUCUGACUGCAAGUUUUUGGUUGGGGUGACCACGGAGCAUAACACAACCUCCAYGUUGAAAGAAUUCUUUCUAAGCCAAGAACAACCUUUCUAAGCAUCAAUAUAUUGACAUCCAUUGACCCAAUACAUUUGACCAACGAACCAAGUUACCCUAGGGAUAACAGCGCAAUCCACUUCAAGAGCUCCUAUCGACAAGUGGGUUUACGACCUCGAUGUUGGAUCAGGGUAUCCCAGUGGUGCAGCCGCUACUAAAGGUUCGUUUGUUCAACGA
rnacentral:rRNA from 1 species